AUGAGGAGCUUGCUCCUUUGACGUUAGCGGCGGACGGGUGAGUAACACGUGGGUAACCUACCUAUAAGACUGGGAUAACUUCGGGAAACCGGAGCUAAUACCGGAUAAUAUUUCGAACCGCAUGGUUCGAUAGUGAAAGAUGGUUUUGCUAUCACUUAUAGAUGGACCCGCGCCGUAUUAGCUAGUUGGUAAGGUAACGGCUUACCAAGGCGACGAUACGUAGCCGACCUGAGAGGGUGAUCGGCCACACUGGAACUGAGACACGGUCCAGACUCCUACGGGAGGCAGCAGUAGGGAAUCUUCCGCAAUGGGCGAAAGCCUGACGGAGCAACGCCGCGUGAGUGAUGAAGGUCUUCGGAUCGUAAAACUCUGUUAUUAGGGAAGAACAUACGUGUAAGUAACUAUGCACGUCUUGACGGUACCUAAUCAGAAAGCCACGGCUAACUACGUGCCAGCAGCCGCGGUAAUACGUAGGUGGCAAGCGUUAUCCGGAAUUAUUGGGCGUAAAGCGCGCGUAGGCGGUUUUUUAAGUCUGAUGUGAAAGCCCACGGCUCAACCGUGGAGGGUCAUUGGAAACUGGAAAACUUGAGUGCAGAAGAGGAAAGUGGAAUUCCAUGUG
rnacentral:rRNA from 1 species